ACGCUCGACACCUACGGGAGCAGCAGUGGGGAAUAUUGCACAAUGGGGGAAACCCUGAUGCAGCGACGCCGCGUGGAGGAAGAAGGUCUUCGGAUUGUAAACUCCUGUUGUUGGGGAAAAAGAGGAUGGUACCCAACAAGGAAGUGACGGCUAACUACGUGCCGGCAGCCGCGGUAAUCUGAGCGGGCUGGCAAGGC
rnacentral:rRNA from 1 species